rnacentral:rRNA from 1 species
CCUACGGGAGGCAGCAGUAGGGAAUCUUCCACAAUGGGCGAAAGCCUGAUGGAGCAACGCCGCGUGGGUGAAGAAGGUCUUCGGAUCGUAAAACCCUGUUGUUAGAGAAGAAAGUGCGUGAGAGUAACUGUUCACGGUUCGACGGUAUCUAACCAGCAAGCCACGGCUAACUACGUGCCAGCAGCCGCGGUAAUACGUAGGUGGCAAGCGUUAUCCGGAUUUAUUGGGCGUAAAGGGAACGCCGGCGGUCGUUUAAGUCUGAUGUGAAAGCCUUCGGUUUAACCGGAGUAGUGCAUGGGAAACUGGGAGACUUGAGUGCAGAAGAGGAGAGUGGAACUCCAUGUGUAGCGGUGAAAUGCGUAGAUAUAUGGAAGAACACCAGUGGCGAAAGCGGCUCUCUGGUCUGUAACUGACGCUGAGGUUCGAAAGCGUGGGUAGCAAACAGGAUUAGAUACCCGUGUAGUC